rnacentral:rRNA from 1 species
GAGCUUGACUGCGAGACGUACAUGUCAAGCAGGGACGAAAGUCGGGACUAGUGAUCCGGCACCUCUGAGUGGAAGGGGUGUCGCUCAACGGAUAAAAGGUACCCCGGGGAUAACAGGCUGAUCUUCCCCAAGAGUCCAUAUCGACGGGAUGGUUUGGCACCUCGAUGUCGGCUCGUCGCAUCCUGGGGCUGGAGCAGGUCCCAAGGGUUGGGCUGUUCGCCCAUUAAAGCGGCACGCGAGCUGGGUUUAGAACGUCGUGAGACAGUUCGGUCUCUAUCCGCCGCGCGCGUCAGAAGCUUGAGGAAACCUGUCCCUAGUACGAGAGGACCGGGACGGACGAACCUCUGGUACACCAGUUGUCCCACCAGGGGCACCGCUGGAUAGCCACGUUCGGACAGGAUAACCGCUGAAAGCAUCUAAGCGGGAAACCCCCUCCAAGACCAGGCUUCUCACCCAUU